rnacentral:rRNA from 1 species
AGACGUAGGGACCAAGCGUUGUUCGGAUUUACUGGGCGUAAAGGGUGCGUAGGCGGCGUGAUAAGUCACUUGUGAAAUCUCCGAGCUUAACUCGGAACAGCCAAGUGAUACUAUUGUGCUAGAGUGCAGAAAGGGCAACUGGAAUUCCAGGUGUAGCGGUGAAAUGCGUAGAUAUCUGGAAGAACACCGGAAGCGAAGGCGGCUUUCUGGCCUGCCACUGACGCUAAAGCGCGAAAGCUUGGGUAGCAAACAGGAUUAGAAACCCCAGUAGUCC